GGGGUUGUGGCUCAGUGGUUGAGCGCUUGCCUAGCAUGCAUGAGGCAACUAGGUUUGAGCCCCAGCACCA
rnacentral:tRNA from 1 species